AUUAGGAAUCUUGCACAAUGGGCGAAAGCCUGAUGCAGCGACGUCGCGUGGGGGAGGAAGGCUUUCGGGUUGUAAACCCCUUUUGCUCAGGAAGAAACAAAUGACGGUACUGGGUGAAUAAGCCCCGGCUAACUACGUGCCAGCAGCCGCGGUAAUACGUAGGGGGCGAGCGUUGUCCGAAGUUACUGGGCGUAAAGCGCGCGUAGGCGGGUUGGCAAGUCUGCUGUGAAAGCCCGGGGCUUAACUCCGGAGGGUCGGUGGAUACUGCCAGUCUUGAAGGUGCUAGGGAGAGAUGGAAUUACCGGUGUAGCGGUGAAAUGCGUAGAUAUCGGUAGGAACACCAGUGGCGAAGGCGGUCUCUUGGGGCAUUCUUGACGCUGAGGCGCGAAAGCUGGGGGAGCGAACGG
rnacentral:rRNA from 1 species